rnacentral:rRNA from 1 species
GAUGAACGCUAGCGGCAGGCCUAAUACAUGCAAGUCGAACGGUGUAGCAAUACACAGUGGCGCACGGGUGCGUAACACGUAUGCAACCUACCUUACAUUGGGGGAUAGCCUUUCGAAAGGGAGAUUAAUACCGCAUAAAACAGUAACUAGGCAUCUAGUAGCUGUUAAAGAUUUAUCGAUGUAAGCUGGGCAUGCGUCCAAUUAGUUAGUUGGCGAGGUAAUGGCUCACCAAGACGAUGAUUGGUAGGGGAACUGAGAGGUCAAUCCCCCACACGGGAAAUGAGAUACGGGCCAGACUCCUACGGGAGGCAGCAGUAGGGAAUAUUGGGCAAUGGGCGCAAGCCUGACCCAGCCAUGCCGCGUGCAGGAAGAAGGCGUUAUGCGUUGUAAACUGCUUUUAUACAGGAAGAAACGACCCUUGCGAGGGGCAUUGACGGUACUGUAUGAAUAAGCACCGGCUAACUCCGUGCCAGCCGCCGCCGUAAUAC